UACGUAGGCAGCAAGCGUUGUUCGGAGUUACUGGGCGUAAAGGGCGCGUAGGCGGCCGCCUAAGUCAGACGUGAAAUCCCUCGGCUCAACCGGGGAACUGCGUCUGAUACUGGGUGGCUUGAAUUCGGGAGAGGGAUGCGGAAUUCCAGGUGUAGCGGUGAAAUGCGUAGAUAUCUGGAGGAACACCGGUGGCGAAGGCGGCAUCCUGGACCGAUAUUGACGCUGAUGCGCGAAAGCCAGGGGAGCAAACGGG
rnacentral:rRNA from 1 species